UGCAGAAUCCCGUGAACCAUCGAGUCUUUGAACGCAAGUUGCGCCCGAAGCCGCUAGGCCGAGGGCACGCCUGCCUGGGUGUCA
rnacentral:rRNA from 2 species